rnacentral:ncRNA from 1 species
GGACAAGUGAAUAAGUGCACAUGGUGGAUGCCUUGGCGAUUACAGGCGAUGAAGGACGUAGUAGCUUGCGAUAAGCUGCGGGGAGCUAGCAAACGAGCUUUGAUCCGCAGAUUUCCGAAUGGGGAAACCCGGCCUUUUAGGUCAUUGCAUGCUGAAUACAUAGGCAUGCAAAGCGAACGCGGCGAACUGAAACAUCUAAGUAGCUGCAGGAAAAGAAAUCAACCGAGAUUCCCAAAGUAGUGGCGAGCGAAAUGGGAUGAGCCUGUAUGUGAUAGUCGAUUAGAUAGUGGAACAACCUGGAAAUGUUGGCCAUAGAGGGUGAUAGCCCCUUACACGAAAUCUAAACGGUGGUACUAAGCAUACGACAAGUAGGGCGGGACACGAGAAAUCCUGUCUGAACAUGGGGGGACCAUCCUCCAAGGCUAAAUACUCGUAAUCGACCGAUAGUGAACCAGUACCGUGAGGGAAAGGCGAAAAGAACCCCGGGAGGGGAGUGAAAUAGAUCCUGAAACCGUGUGCAUACAAACAGUCGGAGCCUCUUCGUGGGGUGACGGCGUACCUUUUGUAUAAUGGGUCAGCGACUUACAUUCAGUGGCGAGGUUAACCGAAUAGGGGAGCCGUAGAGAAAUCGAGUCCGAACAGGGCGACAGUCGCUGGGUGUAGACCCGAAACCAAGUGAUCUACCCAUGGCCAGGAUGAAGGUGCGGUAACACGCCCUGGAGGUCCGAACCCACUAAUGUUGAAAAAUUAGGGGAUGAGCUGUGGGUAGGGGUGAAAGGCUAAACAAACUUGGAAAUAGCUGGUUCUCUCCGAAAACUAUUUAGGUAGUGCCUCAAGUAU